CACCUCGACAAGCCGCUGCUUCUCCAUUCGUAUCAUUUUCUUUUUAAUUAUGUGUGUUCCCUUAGCGCUUUCGUGGAAGACUUCUUCGCUAUGCAUGAAUGCAUCUGAAAACCUUCAAAGUCACUGGAUGCUCCACAAAAGACCAAGAGGAAUGUGAAUCCUAUUCUCCCUCACCCGCACCGCACGUCGAAUAAAGCACCAAGCGAAAUGCUGGCAGAACCUAUCUAGCCGGAGAUUUUUUUUUUUUUUCAAAAGCAAGCAACCAUGGGCGCCGCAGCACAACCGGAAUGCAACUAGCUCUUCGUCAGAAACCUGGGCAUGAGAAUGACUGAAUGAGACCUACGGAACGCCCUACUCCUACUCUCCACUAGCUGUCUCCCACGUGUGCGUUCGUUGCGCGUGACACGCCGAGGGAUCGAUCGAUCGAUCGGGGUCCCAGCCGUAGCAUGGCGAGCGCGCGGCCGCCGCAGGCGCAGCGCACGGCGUGGUGCGGCCGCUGCGGCGCGCGCCUGUCCGUGGCCCCCGGUGCGCGCUCCGUGCGGUGCGCGCUCUGCCACGCCGUGACGCGCGUCGAGCGCCGCCCGCACGGCCUGCACCGCGCCGCCGUGGGCUUCAUCAGGGGCCUCAUCGGCGGCCUGACGCCGCCGCAGCGGCCCGCGGCGGCGCUCCAGGAGCUGCCGCCGAGCUCCUUCCCGCGCGUCCGCGGCUGCAAGAAGCGCGCCCUCCUGGUGGGGAUCAGCUACGCCGGCACCAGGUACGAGCUCGGGGGCGCCGUCAACGACGUCAACUGCAUGAGCUACCUGCUCCGCGAGCGCUUCGGAUUCCCGGCGGAAUGCAUCCUCGUGCUCACACAGGAGGACAUGGAGCCUGGCCGGGUGCCGACGCGGGCGAACCUGAUGCGCGCCCUGCGGUGGCUCGUGGACGGCGCCAGCGCCGGGGACUCCCUGGUGUUCCACUUCUCGGGCCACGGCGUGCAGAAGCUGGACAGGGACGGCGACGAGGCGGACGGCUACGACGAGGCGCUGUGCCCCGUGGACUUCGAGGACCCCCGCGGCGGCGGCGGCGUCAUCCUGGACGACGAGAUCAACGCCACCAUCGUGCGCCCGCUCGGCAAGGGCGUGAAGCUGCACGCCAUCGUCGACACCUGCCACAGCGGCACCAUACUCGACCUCCCCUACCUCUGCCGCCUGUCCAGGACCGGGUACUGGCAGUGGGAGAACCAACAGACGGCCCGCCUCGCCGCGUCCGGCGAGACCAAGUGCACCAGCGGCGGCCUCGCCAUCUCGAUCAGCGGCUGCGGCGACAGCCAGACGUCGCAGGACACCACGGUGAGUACUGAGACUGAGACCUACUCGCGCCGCUGCACUGCAUACAAACAUAUGCUACUUGCCCCCCUGCUGCUCAAAGCCUCAAACGACAACGACGACGUCCUUGUGCGUGUGACUCUGCAUGCAGGCGCUCUCCGGGUCCGCCUCCACCGGCGCCAUGACGUACAGCUUCAUCAAGGCGGUGGAGUCGGAGCCGGGCACCACCUACGGCCGCCUGCUGACGGCGAUGAGAGCCACCAUCCGCGACAACGGCGGUGAGUUCGGCAUACCGGGCCCCAUCGGCACCUUCUUCCGCCGGGUCAUCACGUUCAGCUGCGCGCAGGAGCCCCAGCUGUGCGCUUCAGAGACGUUCGACAUCUACAGGAAACCUUUUCUCUUGUGACCAGCUCAUUUCAUCAUUUGCUUUGUAUUUUGUGAGAUGUGCGUGAAAGAGCUAGAAUGGCGUGCAGGAUUUUGAUCUCUUUUCAGUAGAAAACUCUACAGAUGCAGUGAAAGUGGAGCUGAGAUUGGGAAUCCCAGCAUCUUGCAGUGACCCGAACUUAGUUAUGCUCACACAGUGACGUAGAGGCGGUUCACUGAACGAGAUGCCGUAAUAGGCGUUCUUUUGGCUGAAAUUGUGCCGAUAUAUGCUGAUUCGUAAGGCCUUUUUUGGAUUCUCACGGCUAAUUGUUUGUCAGUGAUUAAAAAUUAGCCGGUAAAUAAUUAGCUAGCAACAAUUAACUAGUAUAUGUUUGGAGUCUUAUCUAAUACUUCCUCCAUCCCAAUUUAUAAUUCGUUUAACUUUU